rnacentral:rRNA from 1 species
GACGAACGCUGGCGGCGUGCCUAAUACAUGCAAGUAGAACGCUGAAGGAGGAGCUUGCUUCUCUGGAUGAGUUGCGAACGGGUGAGUAACGCGUAGGUAACCUGCCUGGUAGCGGGGGAUAACUAUUGGAAACGAUAGCUAAUACCGCAUAAUAUUGACUAUUGCACGAUAGUCAGUUGAAAGGUGCAACUGCACCACUACCAGAUGGACCUGCGUUGUAUUAGCUAGUUGGUGGGGUAACGGCUCACCAAGGCGACGAUACAUAGCCGACCUGAGAGGGGGGUCCGCCACACUGGGACUGGGACAACGCCCAGACUCCUACCGGGGGCAGCAGUAGGGGAUCUUCCGCAAUGGACGGAAGGCUGACCGAGCAACGCCGCGUGAGUGAAGAAGGUUUUCGGAUCGUAAAGCUCUGUUGUAAGAGAAGAACGAGUGUGAGAGUGGAAAGCUCACACUGUGACGGUAUCUUACCAGAAAGGGACGGCUAACUACGUG